rnacentral:rRNA from 1 species
CCCCUAGAUGUUCUGGGCCGCACGCGCGCUACACUGAACAGUUCAACAAGUCUUAACCUUGGCCGAUAGGUCUGGGUAAUCUUUGAACGCUGUUCGUGAUUGGGAUAGACCUUUGCAAUUAUGGGUCUUCAACGAGGAAUUCCUAGUAAACGCAAGUCAUCAGCUUGCAUUGAUUACGUCCCUGCCCUUUGUACACACCGCCCGCUGCACCUACCGAUUGAAUGGUCCGGUGAAAUCUCGGGACGGCGGCUUGGUCGCUUGCGUCCGACUGCUGAAACUUGAUUAAACCAUAUCAUUUAGAGGAAGGUGAAGUCGUAACA